UUACUGUUGCUCAUCCAAAGAAAGGUAGCUUGCUAGCUUAACCGCCUUGUUUACAAUUAAUCAAUCGCUGUAACGAGUUUGCGGUGUGUCUUUGGAAAUGUACAGAGUUCUCCUUCUUCAUCCCAUUUCAGGGAAAAGAACAUGAGCAAAGAUUCACAAAUGAGGGCAGCAAUAAAUCAGAAAUGAAUUGAAAUGGGGGAACGGGAUCGGUUGAAAGAACUGCUCAGGGCGAAGCUGGUAGAAUGUGGGUGGAAGGAUCAGUUGAAAGCACACUGCAAAGGUGUUAUCAGAGAAAAGGGCUUGGAACACAUAACAGUGGAGGACCUGGUAGCAGAAAUCACACCAAAAGGAAGAGCACUUGUACCAGAUAGUGUGAAGAAGGAACGAUUAUCAAAUCAAAUCAAAUCAAAUCAAAUUUUAUUUGUCACAUACACAUGGUUAGCAGAUGUUAAUGCGAGUGUAGCGAAAUGCUUGUGCUUCUAGUUCCGACAAUGCAGUAAUAACCAACAAGUAAUCUAACUAACAAUUCCAAAACUACUGUCUUGUACACAGUGUGAGGGGAUAAAGAAUAUGUACAUAAGGAUAUAUGAAUGAGUGAUGG